ACAGGGUCUCCCUCUGUUGUCCAAGGCUGGAGUGUAGUAGUGCUAUCGCAGCUGACUGCAGCCUCAACCUUCCAGGCUGAAGCGAUCCUCCCACCUCAACCUCCCACGUGGCUGAGACUACAGGUGCUUGCCACUAUGCCCAACUAACAUUUGGAAUUUUCGUAUACGUGGAUUCCAGAGGGGUGACAGCGAAACACCCUGUCUCAAAACAACAAAAAAGUAGCAGCUAACAUCAACUGACCUUUUACCAGGUGCCUAUUGAUACCAUAGUUUAAUUUCUUAUAACUGUUUCUUAUUUCACUUACCAACUCUGUCUUCAGUUACUCCCAGAUUUUUACUGUGUGUGUACAGAUGACCUUUUGUUUAGAUUGAAUUGUCUCCCCAGAAGUAAGAUUACUGUGAGUCAUGGUGAAUGGACAUUCUCCUUACCCUUGAUGUAAAUUGACAGGGUUUUGGGUGCCUCCCAGCUAUAAUCUUAGCACUUUGGGAGGCUAAGAGAGGAGGAUUGCUUGAGGCCAAGAGUUGGAGGAGGCAGUAUGGCAGUAUGGUGAGACCCUGUCUCCAUUAUUUUAAAAAAUUGACAGGCCCAGCCUCUGCCUCCCGUCAGCCUCUACAGUCCCAACGUCUGCCUCACAGCAGAUUCUUCACGCCCAGCAUCUACCUCACUGUGGACCCCCCAAGCCAAGCUCCCAACCUUUCAGCAGCUUCUACACACCCAGCUCCUGCCACCCAGUGGCCUCUUUAGGCCAAGCUCAUGCUUCACAAGGGCCUUUCCAGGCCCAACUUUUG
rnacentral:lncRNA from 10 species